GCAUCCAUGGCUGAAUGGUUAAAGCGCCCAACUCAUAAUUGGUAAAUUUGCGGGUUCAAUUCCUGCUAGAUGCA
rfam:Triticum aestivum genome assembly, contig: Triticum_aestivum_CS42_TGACv1_scaffold_342797_4DL